GGCGGCGUGCCUAAUACAUGCAAGUCGAACGGUCUUUCUAUGGAAGCUUGCUUCCACUGAGAAGGCAGUGGCGAACGGGUGAGUAACACGUGGGUAACCUGCCCAUAAGAGGGGGAGUAACAAUCCGGAAACGGGUGCUAAUACCGCAUAGUUUUCUUGAUCGCAUGAUUGAGAAAGGAAAGACGGCCUUUGUGCUGUCGCUUAUGGAUGGACCCGCGGCGUAUUAGUUAGUUGGUGAGGUAACGGCUCACCAAGACGAUGAUACGUAGCCGACCUGAGAGGGUGAUCGGCCACAUUGGGACUGAGACACGGCCCAAACUCCUACGGGAGGCAGCAGUAGGGAAUCUUCCGCAAUGGACGAAAGUCUGACGGAGCAACGCCGCGUGAGUGAAGAAAGGUUUUCGGAUCGUAAAACUCUGUUGUCAGAGAAGAACAAGUUGGAGAGUAACUGCUCCAGCCUUGACGGUAUCUGACCAGAAAGCCACGGCUAACUACGUGCCAGCCGCCGC
rnacentral:rRNA from 1 species